rnacentral:rRNA from 1 species
AUGCCCACCCUCUCCCCGGCGCCGCGCGUCCUCCCGCUCCGCCGCGCCAGGUCGGACGCCGACCUCCUCGGAUCCGUCCCCGCCGCGGCGCCAGGCUCCGCCGGCUCCGUCCUCCUCCGCUCGCCCCGCCCACGCACCCUCGGGGAGAGGGACGACGCGCCGAUGGAGGACUGCUUCGACGGCUCGGGCGCCGGCAAGGGCAACAACAGCUCCGGCCGCGGCGGCGGCAGCGGAGGUGCCGGCGGCAACGGCCAGAGCGCCGGCAUGGGGGAGCACUACCGCAGGCUGCUGAGGCUGGAGCCGGACAACCCGCUGCUGCUGCGCAACUACGGCAAGUACCUGCACGAGGUGGAGCGCGACCUGGCGGGCGCCGAGGAGUACUACGGCCGCGCCCUGCUCGCCUGCCCCGGCGACGCCGACCUGCUCAGCCUCUACGGCCGCGUCCUCUGGGAGGCCAACCAGGACAAGGACCGCGCCGCCGGAUACUUCGAGCGCGCCGUCCAGGCCGCGCCCGACGACUGCUAUGUGCUGGGAUCGUACGCAAGCUUCCUGUGGGACGCCGAGGACGAGGACGAGGAAGAAGCGAGCACGGCGGUGGCCAGCUCUCCGGCGUUGGUGUCGGCCUGCUGA